CUGAUACUGUAUACUGUAUUUUAAUGUUGGCAGCUUAAAUUUUAAAACAGUUUUGAAAUUAAAUAUUCUAGGCUUAACCAUUGCUAUAACUGCAUUAAGAAUUCACUUACAUGCCUGUCUUAGUGAAUGAUGAAGUAUUGCAGUGGCCAUUAUCUUGCAGAGAAAUCUUCAAAAGAUACCCAUGUUUUAAGAGUUCUUCCAAGCAACUAGUCUCACAGAAACCAAAGAUUGUUGAAGAGAAACAGUUGCUUUAUGUAUGUCAGAGAGAGUUUGCUGUUGUAUCUCCUCAAGACA